AGCGAACGUUAGCGGCGGGCCUAACACAUGCAAGUCGAACGCGAAAGGUCUUCGGACUGAGUAGAGUGGCGCACGGGUGAGUAACACGUAGGUAAUCUACCCUUUGGCGGGGGAUAACGUUCCGAAAGGAGCGCUAAUACCGCAUAAGACCACGGAGUCUCCGGACGCUGUGGGAAAAGGUGGCCUCUUCUUGAAAGCUACCACCGAAGGAUGAGCCUGCGUCCCAUCAGCUAGUUGGUAAGGUAAUGGCUUACCAAGGCGAAGACGGGUAGCUGGUUUGAGAGAAUGAUCAGCCACACUGGCACUGGAACACGGGCCAGACUCCUACGGGAGGCAGCAGUGAGGAAUAUUGGGCAAUGGGCGAAAGCCUGACCCAGCCACGCCGCGUGAGUGAUGAAGGCCCUCGGGUCGUAAAGCUCUGUGGAGAGGGACGAAAACCCUGGUUUCAAAUAGGCUCCAGGCUUGACGGUACCUCUUUAGCAAGCACCGGCCAACUCUGUGCCAGCAGCCGACGG
rnacentral:rRNA from 1 species